rnacentral:rRNA from 1 species
CCUACGGGUGGCAGCAGUGAGGAAUAUUGGUCAAUGGACGAGAGUCUGAACCAGCCAAGUAGCGUGAAGGAUGACUGCCCUAUGGGUUGUAAACUUCUUUUAUAUGGGAAUAAAAUGUUCCACGUGUGGGAUUUUGUAUGUACCCUAUGAAUAAGGAUCGGCUAACUCCGUGCCAGCAGCCGCGGUAAUACGGAGGAUCCGAGCGUUAUCCGGAUUUAUUGGGUUUAAAGGGAGCGUAGGUGGAUUGUUAAGUCAGUUGUGAAAGUUUGCGGCUCAACCGUAAAAUUGCAGUUGAAACUGGCAGUCUGGAGUAUAGUAGAGGUGGGCGGAAUUCGUGGUGUAGCGGUGAAAUGCUUAGAUAUCACGAAGAACUCCGAUUGCGAAGGCAGCUCACUGGACUGCAACUGACACUGAGGCUCGAAAGUGUGGGUAUCAAACAGGAUUAGAUACCCCAGUAGUC